GGCAGAUGAGUCUGCCUUGACUCCUAGGAUUGGCUGAUUCACUUCUUAAACCAGUUCACAGUGAAAUUGAUCAAACUGCAAAAACUCUAUGAAUUCUGAAAUGAAUGGCUGUUUUUACCUUUCACACAAUGAGUAGUAUAAUAAAUAGAGUGCUCUAUGGUUUUCAAGGCAAUUUUAAGGCUCCCACUGUGUGAAGUGUACUUAGGCAAUAUGCUUUACACACAUUAUCUUUAUACAUAUCAUUCAUUCACUCAUUCAUUCAUUCAUCCAUUCAGCAGAUACUGCCAGCCCACUUUCUGCCAGGCACUCUGUGGGGUAUAAGGAAUAAAGCAAUGUAGUACAGUGGAAAAAACACCUCACCUUCUGAGAAAUGUGCUAAGAGCUAACAUUUGUGUUUACAGAAGAGAAAACUAUAAACUCAAAGUGCUUAAGUGGAUGUUGCCUAGACUCCAAGCCGGUGUUAGUGAAGGAGGCAAAAGUCCUGACUUCGUUGUUUUUUGGUUGAGGAGAAGAAAACUCAAGUUUCCUUGAUGACCUAGGGACAUAAAUAUGAGGACGUUUAUAACUUGCUAACAGGCUGGGGAUAUUAUAUUCAAUCACAUUUGGCACUGUUGGAAUUUUCAGAGUAUCAGAGAGACACGAUUUUUAGUGUUUACUCCUAAGAGUGACUGAAAACGACUAAUUAUUGUCAGAGUCUAUGACAUGUAUCCUUGGGAGACAAUGUAAUUAGGGAAGGGAAGAGAGAAAUGAAAGGAAGAGAGAGAGAGAAAGAGUAAAGACGAAUAAAGUGGCUAGAAACUUAACGGAAAGUCAAAGAAAGCCCAGAUGAAAACCCUUUUAAACUCUUUUCAUUGUCCUUAAAUUAUUCUCUAAUUAUUUUCUACGCGUCAUCUUUGAGUAGAGAGAAGGUCUUUUUCCUCCACCGUAUUUCCUAGCAUAGCUUAAUUAAUACUUGAUUGAUUGAAAGAUCGACUCAUUUGAACCUGGAGUGAAAUGAAGCUUUUUAAUUUUCUUUUCUGCUGAACCUGAAAUAGAACAUAUAGUAAUUAGGGAAGGAUCCCUUGUUAUCAGAAAGUCACAGGCACGAUGAGCAAUUUGUAACAGAGCAAAAGGAAGGUAGAUGAUUAUUUGGGACCUGAUAAAGCAUACUCCCCACUCCCUACUGCUUUCAGUGAUAUGCGAGUUUCUUGAUCAUUAUUUCCUCCUUGAGAGUUUCUUGGCUAGGGAUCUGUCUGGACAGUGGGCUAAAUGGUGGGUAAAUGUCAUCAGAGUCUGACCACAGAGGUGACUGAUGGCCUCUUCUCUAUGCCUUUCAUUACCCUGGCUCUCUCCUCCAAAACCUGGAUUGACUAAUUUACAUUUUUUUCAAGAUCUCUUGAGUUAAUCAGCAUUUCAUUCAUUCACUCAUUCACUCAUUCAUUCAUUCAGGGACAUGUUCAACUCUGGGCAUCUAAACAGAAUAAAACAGGCAAGGACCCAGUUCUCACUGAACUCAUUUAGCAGAGCAGGCAGACAGUCCCUAAAUGCAUACGCCACAGUGACAAGAUCACUGCAUGUGAAUGAGAAACUUCAGAGUAGGAAGAACUACCAGGGCUGUAAGACAGGGUGGUGUGGAAGAGAUCCACUGGGGGCUUGGCUUCUCGGAUGACUUCGUUAAGCAGGGCUUCCUAUUGAACUAACAUCUAAGGUUACAGUAAGUAGAAAUGCCUUUGUGUGGAGCUCUGCAUGUUAUGAAGCUGUUGAUCACGCCAAGAUCUCAGAGAAAAUGGACUGACGGGAUUAACAAGUUCCUGCAGGGUGGACAACUCUGAAGUAGGUGUGUCCAGGGCAUGGUGAGUGAGGAGGGGAGUACAAGACAAGAUUAGAGAUGGAGGCAGGGCCAGUGAUGGAGGCAUGUCUGGGGUACGGCAAGGAGUCGGUUUGACUCCACAGGCAUUGGGAAGCCGUGGUGGGUGGGGGCAACGUGAUCUGGCUCACGUGGGGAGAAGAGGCCAUAAACAAGGAAUAGCAGAACCAGAGAGAAUGGUUAGGAAGCUGAGCGGUGAUCCAGCCGAGGGGUGACGGCGAGCUAGCCACGACAUGGAGAGAAGUGGACACAUGUGGGAUAUGUUUUAGAGAGAGAGGCCGUGGGAGUGCUGAGGGGUGGGAGUGCUGUGAGAUCAGGGGGCGUACAUGAGCCUCCUGGGGCUUCUGUGAUGAAGCACCACAGGCUGGGCCCUUUAAACCACCCAAGCGGGUUGCCUCAUGGUUCUGGGAGCUGGAAAUCUGAGAUCAAGGUGUUAGGAGGGUUGGGUCCUUCUGAAAGCCAUGAAGAGAGGAUCUGUUCCAGGCGCCUCUCCUUGGCUUGUGAAUGGCCAUCUUCUCUCAGCGUCUCUUCAUGCUGUCUUCCCUCUGUGCAAGCCCACCUUUAUGUCCAAUUUCCCCUUUUCAUAAGGAAACCAGUCAUGUUGGAUUAUAGACCCACUUUACUCCAGUAUGACUCAUCUUAACUAAUUUAUUGAUACAUCUCCAAAAUUGCUGUGUCCAAUUAAGGUCAUAUUUUGAGAUACUGGUUAGCUCUUCAACAUAGACAUAUACUCUAUAUGUGUGUGUGUGUGUGUGUGUGUGUGUGUGUGUAUAAUUCUUUGUGCUGUUCUGCCUUUUUAAUUUUUCAAAGAAAACAAAUAAUUAUAAUAUAGUCACACAAGGGCUGUGAUGGUAGGUUAUUGGCUCCAGGAGAGCUCAGAAGAGAAAGAAAUGGGUUGGGGGAGGUUUUCGGGCAAAGGACUGGCAGCUACAGAAGACCUCCCAGUGGAGUUGGAAGGACAAGGAGUUCCCCUGUGAAUGCACCGAGGGGAGAGGUGAGAAGCCGCUCCAGGCAGAUGGAACAGAGCACGUGGCAGUGCGAGAGAGCAGGAUGCUUGGGAGAGCCUGAGGGAGUGUGGCAAUGGAGGCGGUGGGGGAGACGAGGCUGGGGUGGGAGCAGGAACCACCAGCUCACAAGCGCUUUGUUCUCCUUGCUAAGGAGUCAGGAUGAUCGUACAAGUGACGAAGAGCCAAAGGUGGGCUGAGCGGGGGAGCGUGUUCAGUGCAGUUCAGUCACUCAGUCGUGUCCGACUCUUUGCGACCCCAUGAAUCGCGGCACGCCAGGCCUCCCUGUCCAUCACCAACUCCCGGAGUUCACUCAGACUCACUUCCAUCGAGUCCGUGAUGCCAUCCAGCCAUCUCAUCCUCGGUCGUCCCCUUCUCCUCCUGCCCCCAAUCCCUCCCAGCAUCAGAGUCUUUUCCAACGAGUCAACUCUUCACAUGAGGUGGCCAAAGUACUGGAGCUUCAGCUUUAGCAUCAUUCCUUCCAAAAGAAAUCCCAGGGAGAUCCAACCAGUCCAUCCUAAAGGAGAUCAACCCUGAAUGUUCAUUGGAAGGACUGAUGCUGAAGCUGAAACUCCAAUACUUUGGCCACCUGAUGGGAAGAGCAGAUUCACUGGAAAAGACCCUGAUGCUGGGAAAGAUUGUGGGCAAAAGGUGAAGGCAGCAACGGAGGAUAAGAUGGUUGGAUGGCAUCGCUGACUCAAUGGACAUGAGCAAACUCAGGGAGAGAGUGAAGGACAGGGAAGCCUGGCAUGCUGCAGUCAUGGGGUUGCAAAGAGUCGGACAUGACUUGGCAAAUGAACAACAAUGACCUCCAGGAAAGCAGCUCUGGCCCAGAUGCCCUGACUAACUAGAGCAAGAAGUGACCCCCAAGGAGGCUGCCCGCAGCAGGCCUCAGAGCUGCCGCAUAUGAAGAUGAACCUCUUCCCCACCCCUCCUCACCCAUGAUUCAUCCAUUCUCUCAUUCAGCACAUGGCUCCUGAGCAUAUAGAAAAGGGUCAUCACCUCAGCCUGCUCAUUCAGCAGUUUUUGAACCUGAUAACUAUCCAGAAACACUUGGGUUGUUUGUUAUAAACAUACAUUUCUGGGCAUUUGCUAGACCUACAGAAUCAAAGUCUCCAGGAGUGUAAUUCAGGCACUUGAAUCUUUAACCCCCUUGGUGACUCUCAGGCAGCCAGCGUGGCCAGAGUCAGAGGCCAGAGAGGAGACUAGGGCUGCCCUCCCGAGAUCCUGUCAUCACCUGAGAUCCAUGGGUGAGGAGAUAACGCAAGCAGAGUGAUCACCGCAACACAAGGUAUGGGCUCAAUGGAACAAGCGAGGAAAGGCCCAAGGCAAGGUCUCUGUCCCUUUGCCCCCAGGGUACAAUGAUGAGAUGGCCCCCACACAUACUCAGGAGUCUACAGCUGCAGCAGAGGAAUCUUUGAAGGUUCUGAGACAGACCUGACCGUCCUGCUUCACCCUACCCAUUAUAAGAAGGCCAAAGAUUUAAACCAUAUAGAAAGCACUCUGAAGAAGGUCUCAGGGAUUUCAGCUGGCUGCCAUUAUGAUACUUAUCAUUAACAUUUCUAGAAAGCAUUUGCUACCAAACAGACCCUAUUCUCCAGCUUUAUUAUUUCACCUAAUAGAAAUAACAAGAGGCUGGUGCAAAGGAGAAUGCCCUGCCCCUUUCUUGGGGAGUUCCAGAGGAAACUGCAGUCUGUGGGCCAGCCUUGGACAUGACUCUGGAGCAGCUCUUGGAUGUCAGGGAUGGACCAGUCAUCCCUGUGGCAGGAGCCAUCCCUGUACAUUUCCAGGGGUUCCGAAGACUGGAGAGAGGCCAGAGCCUGCAGGGGACUAGGUGCUCUCCCCAGGCCUCGUUUUAUGAGCUCACCAGUCCUCCAGACAUAUCAGACGUUCCCUAAUGACCCUUCUCCAUUCCUGUUGCCGAAAGCCAGAGUCUAGAAUUACAGCCACAGAACUGCUGACCAGCCCUAAGCAGGGAAGUCACUGUGAUGCCCUUUGCAUUUGAAUGGAGUAGGGGUCCAUGAAGACUGGGCUAGAGGUGAGAGAUGGGGAAGAAAAGCUCAAGGCUAGAAUUAGUCCACUGUUAUCUGGAGUUCACUCACUACUUUGUAGAUUAUGUUUCAUAGUGUUGUACAGUUUACGAAAUGCAUUAAACACAUUGAGCUCUUAAUCUUCACAACCUCAUUACAAGGGAAGCUUAUUAACUGCAUUUUGUAGAUAGCAUUUGGUAACUGGCCAAGGUCACAAGAAUUAACCCAGGACUCAAACCCCCAGGUCUUCUGGCUCCAGGAUCUCUGUUCGCCAUCAAUACCUCACAUGCAGGCAGACAGAAAUUUGUGGGAAGAAUGAAUGAAUGACUCUCAACUAAAUACUAAGGAGGAUAUAGAGAUGAAUACUACUUGGUUUCCGGAAAACUGAAAGGAACUUCUCCCCUCUUCUCUCUCCUCACACCCACCCCCACAACCACAAUCAAGGUUGGUUAGCACCUACUGUCGAUUUUACAAGAAGAGAUGAAGUAUUUUUCAGUGUCAGCAACACUUGAGAGCUGACAAAAGGAUGGGGUCUCCCAGAGGGCAUUUCUAGGCCGAAGUGUGGCUCCUUUUGCAAAAAACAUUCCACAGAAGCUCUGACUUUUUUAAUUCAUACCACCAAGGAGAUAUUUGAUUGUUUCCUGGAAAUGCUAAUAAUGCAAGGCUCAUAAAUACUAAUGAAAUGCUAUAGAUUAGCAGAGCUCAGCAAGGAACCUGGGGGGUGGGGGUUGCCUAGAAGAGAAUUCUUAGAUUAAAAAGUAUAAAGAAUACCUUUUAAUCGAAUUUUCCCCAGACAGGGUUCCCAAGUGUUAAUGAAUAUUCUCUUUGGCCAUAUGGAGAGUAGACUCAAAUAAGUACCUUUAGGAAUCCAGAAGCUAAUUAUUGACUUAGCUUUUGCUUGAAAAGAAAUCUGUUUAUUCACAUGGCUAUUUUAGGUGCCAUGGGAUGGAUGAGUUUGAG
ensembl:lncRNA